rnacentral:rRNA from 1 species
UACGUAGGGUGCGAGCGUUAAUCGGAAUUACUGGGCGUAAAGCGUGCGCAGGCGGUUCGUUGUGUCCGUCGUGAAAGCCCCGGGCUUAACCUGGGAACUGCGAUGGAAACUAGCGAGCUGGAGUGUGGCAGAGGGGGUGGAAUUCCGCGUGUAGCAGUGAAAUGCGUAGAGAUGCGGAGGAACACCGAUGGCGAAGGCAGCCCCUGGGCUAACACUGACGCUCAGGCACGAAAGCGUGGGGAGCAAACAG